AGUCAGCAGUGGGGAAUAUUGCACAAUGGGCGCAAGCCUGAUGCAGCCAUGCCGCGUGUGUGAAGAAGGCCUUCGGGUUGUAAAGCACUUUCAGUUGUGAGGAAGGUGGUGUCGUUAAUAGCGGCAUCAUUUGACGUUAGCAACAGAAGAAGCACCGGCUAACUCCGUGCCAGCAGCCGCGGUAAUACGGAGGGUGCGAGCGUUAAUCGGAAUUACUGGGCGUAAAGCGCAUGCAGGUGGUUUGUUAAGUCAGAUGUGAAAGCCCGGGGCUCAACCUCGGAACUGCAUUUGAAACUGGCAGACUAGAGUACUGUAGAGGGGGUAGAAUUUCAGGUGUAGCGGUGAAAUGCGUAGAGAUCUGAAGGAAUACCGGUGGCGAAGGCGGCCCCCUGGACAGAUACUGACACUCAGAUGCGAAAGCGUGGGGAGCAAACAGGAUUAGAUACCCUGGUAA
rnacentral:rRNA from 1 species